rnacentral:rRNA from 1 species
UAAUACGGAGGAUCCGAGCGUUAUCCGGAUUUAUUGGGUUUAAAGGGAGCGUAGAUGGGUUGUUAAGUCAGUUGUGAAAGUUUGCGGCUCAACCGUAAAAUUGCAAUUGAUACUGGCAGUCUUGAGUACAGUUGAGGUAGGCGGAAUUCGUGGUGUAGCGGUGAAAUGCUUAGAUAUCACGAAGAACUCCGAUUGCGAAGGCAGCUUACUAACCUGUAACUGACAUUGAUGCUCGAAAGUGUGGGUAUCAAACAGGAUUAGAUACCCUGGUAGUCCACACGGUAAACGAUGAAUACUCGCUGUAGGCGAUAUACAGUCUGCGGCCAAGCGAAAGCAUUAAGUAUUCCACCUGGGGAGUACGCCGGCAACGGUG